UCUUUCUGCAGCAGUUCCAACAGCCGGGCAUUUAUGUCUUUCGUCUGAGCAGCAACUGACAUCGGAAGAUGAUUCAGUGUCACAGCCUAGGCUGGGCCCAGAAGACUGCUCCCUACCCCACCUUCAGGAGACAUCAGCAAGAAUACAACCUCUAUGCCUACACUUCCCCAAGAACUGGGAUAAUGUCAAUGAGGAGAGGCCCAUCUCACCAAGACUGACACCACCAGGGUUGAGGGGGGUCCUGGUGGGAGCUGGGCGGCUGAGGAGCAGGUAGACCUGGAGGGGUUUGACACAGAGGCCUUCUUUGGAAUCCUCCUCAGGCAGUCUCUGUCAGUGACAGCCAAACUCAGCCAGACGAACGAAGAGCUCAAACUCCUCUACCUUGAACUUCUGGGUGAAGCCCGUUCUCUCCAGCAGCCGUCGGGAGCAAGGCACUGCCUCCCAGCCUCCGCUAACUGGCUUCUGGGGAGCGUGCAGAGGGAGCAGCAGCAGGGCAGUUCCCCAGCUGUACACUGUGCUGGGCCACCUGUCCCAGGUCGUGCUGCAGGAGGGCCACCGCCUGAAGGCCUGGGGCAUUCUGGGCACCGGCACUGGGGCGGAGCUACUGCGGCCAGCCCCAGCAGGCCCUCCUGGUGCUGAUGACAUCAGUGUGAACCCUGUCACCAAGUUGAUGGUCCCUGGCCCCAACUGUUUGAUGCUUCCAGC
rnacentral:sRNA from 1 species